rnacentral:lncRNA from 1 species
AGGCCUUCGAUGUGUCUCUCAUCCCACAUGCUGGUUCGUGACUGCAUAAUGGACAUGCAUGCAUGCAUGCUUGCAUGAUGAGAGAGAGCAAUAUAAUUUAACUGGAUAAAUAAAUGCAAAUGCAGCUGUAUCAGAGAACACCAAACUACCAAACAAGAUCAAGUUCCUCAAACGAAGUAAUCAUCAGUCUUCGUCAAACAAAGACAGCCCAACCGACCUGCUAAAUGUGGUAGACGCUCUUUAUUUUUUUCCGAGAGAGAAAGAAACUUGCCAUCUGAACUAUAUGCCUUCUCACCUAAAGAGCCUUUACGGAGGGAGGGAGUGAGUGCUGGACCAGAGGUUUAAUAGCAUGAUAAUUUAUGAAGGACUACAGAAUUUUUAAUUCCCAAAAAAAACAAAAUAAAACUCUGAAGAAAAUAAAAUAUUCAUAAAUCCAAUAAAUAAAACCGACCAUUUCCAGUAAUGCACUCAAAUUUUCAUGUUCUGUUCACUCAAACCCAAACUCAUCUGAAAAGACUAAAAAAAAUGUCACAAGUUUUCAACCAUACAAACAAAUUUUGGGAAUGACUAAUCAUGAGAUUUCAUUUUCUCUACACCGUUGUAAAGAAUAAAUUGAAAACAAGCUUUCCACGAGAGCGAUGACCAAAUUGCAAGCAGGUCCACAGAAUUCAUCAGAACACCAUUAAAAACAGAGCUACCCUCCUAAAUGGGAAAUUGUCAUACGAUAGAUAAGAAAGUCAUCUUUAAGCCAAGUGAAGUAGGGAUCUCGACUUGCAUAACAAUAGGACUUGAUUUCUACAACAUUCAAUCAAUGAAGAUUCCUAAUUUAACUAACACUACAUCAAAAAAAAUUAUAUGUAGGAAAAAUUAUUACGAUUCACUUUACAUAUCCUAAAAUAAAAAAUAAAUAAUCUGUCAUUAAAUUAUACAAAUUUCCAGCACUACUUUGAUCAAACAGAUCAGACAUGAUUUCAGGAUCAUGAAAAAUGAUUUUAGGUCUCAAAUUUUUCCGAUGAAUCUAGACCAGUUAAAAACAAAACAAUAAUAUUCCUGUAAAAAAACUAUACCUUUCAUUAAAAAUAAAAUUAAGAGAAAAAAAAAUAAACCUUUCUAUUUUUUUUAUCAUUGUCUUAAUUCCUUUUUAAUCAUUCCAUUAGAACAACCUAUGAUAAUUUGGGGAUAUAAAAUAAUCCCAAAAUUCAAUCUCAAUAAUUAAGCUCCACCACAAUGACCUAUGCUAAUUUGGGACCAAAACUAAAUAAUUACAGUACAAUAAUGCUUGUUUGAUACUUAGCAAGCAAGUAAAGCCAAACAUGAGCAUAUUACCUUUGUAGGUGGAGUAAUUAUGCACUAAGCAUCACCUAACUCAGCUCACGCCAAACAAAAGGCGUAUUUUGAGUUACUUGUCAUUCAAAAAUAGGAUAACUAAACCAAAAACAAACUUGUAUGAUGCUCCUUGAUAUUCCUACAUCUACUGAUUUGAGGUGAAGAGUCAGUACAGAACAAAGGAGAGUACUUGAUAUGUUUUUGUCCAGUAGGUCGCCUGCCACUUCUCAGUCAAUUAUCUGGCACACCAAGAUAGUGAAUGACUUUUAGAAAUGUUUAGGCUUAAUAAACCUCAAAAGAUAGUGAAUGAAUGAUUAAGGCUUUCAAUGAAUUUGAAGUUCAGCCCUUAAAUCGACAUUGUUAACAUCUUACCUAAUUUAACCAGCAGAAUUCAUUUCUGCAAGUUAUCAUAAUAACACACACCUGUAGGAAAAGCAAGAUGCCAAGAGAAAUCUUAGUCUGAUUGAGUGAACAACUGAUCAGAAUCUGACUUGAAAACAGAAUUGAGGAUAAAUCUGAGAUUAACAAUGGCCUUAUUUUGAAAAAAUUAAAGCAGAUUUUAAUCUAAAAAAAAAACAAAAGGAACAAACAAAUUGUAAGAAGUAUAUAUUGGAAUUUCUAAUUAAACCAUUAUACUUCAGCUAGCACAUCCACAAAACAAACCAUUUUUAUCUUCCACAUCCCACAGCAAAGAUGGAUGAUGCAAAUAACAGGACUUGGUUUUUCUAAUAAUUCCAGGAAAUGCUUAUCAUAUUAAUUAGUUCUUUUAGAAAGUGAAAUUAACAGGUCAAAUCAACAUUUUAGUCCUAAAAAUGAUUAUGAUCACACGUCACCAUACCAUGCCAAAAGAAACCCAAACCCAAACCCAAAGUCCAGCAAAUCAGUAGAAAGCAGUAAAAAAUUGCAAGAUCUUGUCAACCAAUGUCAUAAAAGAUUCUGCCCUUCCACACAAAUAGCAUCCAUUGCAGCCACCAUAGUGUGGUAAAUAUAUUCUCUUUAGGUGGUUGUAUCAAAGUGUUAGGAUCAAGAACAACGCUAAAAAAAGGGGGUGAAUUAGUGUAGUGAAAAAAUUAAAUCGAUUUGAAAAUCUUCAUACGAUAAAAACUAAUUUCGGCAAAAACAAUUUGUUUUGACUCGAGUAAGUUUGCAAAUGAGUAGAGAAGAGGAGAUUGGACAGUUUACAAUGAAGUAAAGUAGUAAAGAGAAUAAGCAGUAAAGAAAGAAUACAUUGGAAUUUAUAGUGGUUCGAUCGUCGUAACCUACAUCCACUUCUGAUUCCUCCUCCGUCGAGAUCAUUGACGUCUACUAAUGAUCUUCCUUCAAUAGGCGAAGACCAACCACCUCUUUACAGCUCUUUCUCCUUUUCACGGGUUUAGAAGAUAACCCUUACAAGCCUCACACAUCUUCUUGGAUUAUUACAAAGCUAAAGAGAGGGAGAAAGAGGAUUCUUCUCAUUUUUACAACACUUUUAACACCCGAACACUUAUAGUUUUUGUCACACUUUGAUUGCACUUUUUUUUUCCUUUCAUGCAGAAAAUGUGGGGUAUUUAUAGGCCCCAAUGACUUCAAAAUUAGAGUUAAAAAAUGUCUCAACCUGGAUUUUCGGGAUACUAGCGGUACCACCGCCAGUACUGGAUUGUACCAUCGCACCGCCCCAGUCUGACGGUACAACCUGGUUGGGCUUUGAAUUCAACUCAAACCAGUCCAAUUACGGGCCUAGUUAGCCCCUAACUGAGUUAGUAAGAUUACCUCCCAAACCUAACCCUAAUUAUAUACUAAUUAUGAUUCUUAAGACAUACACUAAGCAAAACAAGUCCGGUUAUUUUAGGUUUCUUUCGGCGAGCUUCCGACGAACUUCCAUCUCUCGGCAAUGUUCCCGCAACUCCCGAUAAGCUCCUGGACUUCACAACGAUCGUCUUUGGUAAACUUCUAGACUUCUCGAUCAAUUCCGACAUAAUUUCCGACGAACUCUCAACGAAAUCUCGAUCUUGAUUCUGGCACUUUGUUUUGCUUUAUGUCUUGAUUGCUAUCGUAGUUAAUCCUAUACACUUUUCUCAACAUAUCAAUUUGAUCAAAUAAUUUACCAAUUAAUUUUAUCAUCAAAAUUCAAGAUUCAAUACACACAUAACAUCCAGGCGUUUAAGAUGAUGUCCCUAACGAGUUUCAGACACCAAAGAUAAGCAAGACAGCAGAUGGCCAGAUUCAUGAUUCCCUGCCUGUCGUUUCAUAGCAUCUCUCGUGAUGCUUGGCAGAUCCUAUUUCAAGAAACUAGUCAGAAAAUAUCCUACUUUCCAACUCAUGUAGAAAGCUUUAGUUUGUAGUCUGAGCCAUAAAAUGUAAAAACAUUCAACCUGCCAUUCUGCUCAAUCUGAGAAGUGAAAUGCAUCCAUUUAGAAAGGAAGCUCAAGAUGAGAACUAAUUAUAACUGAAAACUGUAUUUUUUGAGCCAAACCAUCCAGUCCAUGGGAAGAAACACGAUAGAAUUAAUAUUUAAAAAAAAAAAGACAACUCAAGACAAUUAUGUCUGACUCAAUUUUUUAAUAAUUUUCGUUUCAAUGUUGACUGACAUGGAGAUGGUCAACUCAGAUAAAUCAAUCACAACUAAUCAAAAGAGAAAUGAGCCGAUGAACGAUAAGCAUGAUCACUUCAAGCAUGCAUUAGAGGUCCAGAAAGUAGUUCACCAUCACAAGCCUGAUUGAAUGCAGUUCUUUAUUUCAAGCCUGAUUAAGCAUCUUCUGAUGUCAAAAGACCAAGUAUAAUUUUUUCACCUGGUAGAAAUUUGAGCUUAUUGCUCCUGUUAUGGAUUUUAAACUUCCACUUCUCCCAUUAUACUUGUACGCAAUUCACUUUUGCAAAUUGAACGUGCAUAAACUUGAAGCUAAUUGUGACCUGCAGUAGACACAAAUGGUUAGAUAAAAAAAACCAAAGAAUAUCUAAUGAAAAUAUUUUAUAUAAUAAUUACAUGCACCUUCCAAGUAGUUGGUUUUUGUUGUCAUGGGAAGAAACAUGGCAGCUAAAUCUAAUCAUCUACCGACAAUAACCAAUGGAGCUGUGACAAUCUGGGCCUCAAGCGCCAUAGAUCCAUAAUUAAGAAAUAUGAUGAAAUCAGGUUUCCUUCGGUAACAUUUCAUCCACCAAAGAGUUCAGCCUUUGCGACUUCACCAAGGCAACAAUAGUCACAGACUAA